GCCCGGAUGGUCUAGUGGUAUGAUUCUCCCUUGUGAGUAUCUCCGACGUAUAAUAUUACCGUAAAUAUCAACUAACAGAAUUGAAGCGGGUGUAACAAUCCUGGUGCAAAACCUAAAUGGGAGAGGUCCCGCGUUCGAAUCGCGGUUCGGGCC